rnacentral:sRNA from 1 species
CAGAAAGGUGCUCCUGAUUCUGGUUCGAUUGGUCCCUCAGCAAGACCUAUCUUCCCAGGUCGGAGCACCUUUCGUCAUCAUCAACACCGCGCCGCGCAG